AAUGGAGUGCCUGAAAUUUUAAAGGAAUACCUUGAUGGGGUAUAUUAUGUAUGAAAAUACCUCCCUUA
rnacentral:tRNA from 1 species